AUGAGACGAGAGGGGCUUCCUGAGUGGGGCGCGGUCCCGACAGCCCUGGUGCUCUGUGUGCGGACACCGGGCGUGCUCGGGCCACUCACCCGGUGAUCUGCUGAGAAGGGCGUCACCACGCUGCUGAGACCAAGAUCUCUACAAAAUAACCAGAUCAAUGUUUUGAGGUUGCAUAGUAAAGUGAAGGCAAGGACCAGGCAGUGCUGCUUGUCUGUUAAUGUGUGUUCAGUUCUGAGAUGGUGAGGGGCUGCAGGGCCCUUGAGCGCAUCCAUGCAGGUGCCCGGGGUUCACAGAUAUUUCCAAAGCCAGAGUGGAAUGUUCUGCCCCUCAAUGUGUUGACACUAUUAUUGAAGAGAAGUAGUAGAGCCAGGCACUCAGCUCCAAACGGCUUCUGUGGCUCCCCAAGCACCUCCCCUCCAGACUCAACCUCGAUGGUCUCCCUGCAGCAGCAGCUUCCUGUUGUGAAGGCCCAGGCUCGAAGGGCAGUGGCUUCUACCACAGAGCUCCCCGGGGAAGUGCGUACUCUGGACAGCAGGGGGCAGUGUUCAUCUGCAGAUAACAGGAGCCGGCCAGAGAGGGGGAGCAGAGCCCCAGAGCCUUCCAAACACAGAUUUCCUGGGGCUCAGAUUCGUGGUUUGGACCGCGACGCGGUACGAUGGAUGAAUUUCCAAAGACUCUGGUGGCUCCGGACUGAGCACAGCGAGGCUGCAAUCUGCAGGAGAGCGAAUCUGCUGCCUUCCAGAGCUGCUGUGCUUCGGCGCAGGUUCGUUACCGCAGGCGCCCAGGAGGGAAGAGCACAGCCUGAAGACAGCGCUCUCCUCUGUGUCACUGUCACAGGAGCAACAAAGUGCAGCAGGAAACCAAGUGUCCACAGGGCUCGGAGACCGGAGAGAGAAGCACCCAGUGAGGUUCUGCUGAUGUGCGCAAACUGGAGGCCGAGGCAGCUUGGGAGACCCGGCCGGCCAUGUCCACUGGAGCUCACGGCCGGCCUGUGCCUGUGUCCACCGCGACAGCAGCACCUGCAGACGGGAGUGGCCAGCACUGGAACUUGGAGCAAAGCAUAGAUGUCCCCAACCUGCAGUGCAACUCUUACGAAAGUGACUUUUAAAUUUCUUCCUUUCUCGGUUACUUUUGGUUGUUAAUAACUCUAAAGGAAACAUGUAUACUUUUAUUUAUUCUUUUCUCAAUUUUAACCUUUGCUCUUUUUUUUUUUUUUUCUUUUUCAGGUCUGAGAAAGAUCAGCACUUUAGCUGCAGCUGUGCUAUUUCGGCCACUUCUUCCAAUUCGGGCUUGGUUUCAGCCUGGAAAUAAAACAGGUGUGAACUCAGCGUCACCCCCUUAGUCCCUGGACCUGUACUCACUCAGGACCGUGCUUGAGUACAUUUCCCUAGGGCCAACUAGUCCGACUAUGGUACUACUGUAAGCCAGGCAUGACAUUUAGAUUAUUAUUAAUAUCUACAAUCUUACUUGCAAAUACAGGUAAGCCUUUUAGGGAUAACUGUUAGUGAUGGAAGCAUUUCCUUAUUGAAAGUCUAACAAUAAAUAUACAACAAUUAUUCCAAAAGUCAGUGGCACAUCAAUGAUUAAUGGUAAUUGUAAGAACCUCGAUUUAAUGGAUUAAUAACAGUUAUUAAGAAGAUCCAAAUAAUUGCACCAACAGGACAGUGGAUUGAGAAUUGGUUUUCCCGGCUUCCUUUCCCUGUACUGUGCCUUGGAAACCGUCCACACUGUCCCCCGGGCCAAUGAGGCUUCACCUUGCUGGUCCCCUCCCCUCCAGGAUCAUUGCUGUUUGUUCUUUGAUGCCCAGUGUCUUUAAAAAGGUUUCAUAUGUUUGUCUGGUGCUUCAAUUGCUUCAAACAGAAGGAUAAAUAUGCUCCCUAUUAUUCUGUCUUGACUUGAAUUUCUACUUGAAGAAAAAUCUCUUAAGUCAAGUACGGUGACACUCAAGACAGAUUAACUCCAAGAUCCAGACUUAGGAAGAAUCAAAACAAGUGUGGGAGGAAGAAGAAAAGCACAUGUAAGCUUGUUAUACUACAAAACUACGUUAGAGAGUGCUUUAAUGAAUGCCCAGAAUUCCGAACCUUGGAGACUGGUGCAGGUUGAGUUGUAUCCUCUGCAGAAAACCCACCGGGCCUCAGACCUGGCUUGGAACAGUAGUGUCCUUGCAGAUGUGUUAGCUGAGAGUAUAGCGCUGGAGGGCCGGCUUUUCCUAUACCUGUGUCCUAGGAAGAUGGUGCUUGGAGAGCCAGAGAGUGGGGAACCCAGGAACACCGAGGAUGGCAGCCCCCUGGGAGCACAGAGGAGACAAGGAGGGUCCUCCCAACAGCCUGGCUCCGACUUCCAGCCCCCAGAGCAGUGAGACAACAAGGCUGGGAACUUGUGAACCCCUCAUUUAGCAGCUGCAUCAGGGCAGCUGGGAGCCUAAUGCAGAGAUGGUCAUUUUCAGUUUUCAAAAUGAUGGCCUUAAUUUCACAUGUAAAGAGCUGAACGUUUACCAGGUUGUUAUUCAGGGUGCCAAUUGAAGCAAGUGUCUCGUCCCCAGUGGUACAUUUACAGGAGCUGACAGUUCUGAAGGAUGAUUUGUCUAACCGUAUUAAAAUGCA
rnacentral:lncRNA from 1 species